CUACGGGACGCAGCAGUGAGGAAUAUUGCGCAAUGGAGGAAACUCUGACGCAGCAACGCCGCGUGGGUGAAGAAGGCCCUCGGGUUGUAAAGCCCUGUCAGGUGGGAAGAAACCUUCCUGAGUUAAUAGCUCAGGGAACUGACGGUACCACCAAAGGAAGCACCGGCUAACUCCGUGCCAGCAGCCGCGGUAAGACGGAGGGUGCAAGCGUUGUUCGGAAUCACUGGGCGUAAAGCGCGUGUAGGCGGUUCGAUUAGUCGAGUGUGAAAGCCCGAGGCUCAACUUCGGAAGCGCAUUCGAAACUGUCGGGCUUGAGUACGGGAGAGGGAAGUGGAAUUCCUGGUGUAGAGGUGAAAUUCGUAGAUAUCAGGAGGAACACCGGUGGCGAAGGCGGCUUCCUGGACCGAUACUGACGCUGAGACGCGAAAGCGUGGGGAGCAAACAGGAUUAGAUACCCGGGUAGUC
rnacentral:rRNA from 1 species